rnacentral:lncRNA from 1 species
ACUGCUCAGACUCCUCCUCCCAUAUAUGCUGCAAACUUUGCUGGUAUUAUGUUAACUGAGAACCCUAUUUCUGAUUCCAAACUUUGCUUACUUACUAAUAUUAACUCUGUCACCUGGAUUAUAGAUUCAGGUGCCUCUAAUCACAUCCCUAUUUCUGAUUCCAAACUUUGCUUACUUAUCAAUAUAAACUCUGUCACCUGGAUUAUAGAUUCAGGUGCCUCUAAUCAUAUGACACAUGAUAAACAAUUACUUUUUAACAUCACACCUUUAACUCUGCCAUAUC